rnacentral:rRNA from 1 species
GACGUAGGUACCGAGCGUUAUCCGGAUUUACUGGGCGUAAAGCGUGUUCAGGCGGCCGCGCCAGUCGGGCAUGAAAUCUCUCGGCUCAACCGGGAGGGGUUGUCCGAUACUGCGCGGCUGGAGGGCAGUAGAGGGUGGUGGAAUUCCGGGUGUAGUGGUGAAAUGCGUAGAGAUCCGGAGGAACACCAGUGGCGCAAGCGGCCACCUGGACUGUACCUGACGCUCCAACACGAAAGCUAGGGGAGCGAACGGG